AAACGGUUGUCCAGUUGGUGACCAUCACCGAACCGGACACCAUCACUGUCUGCUGCGACGGCUACACGGGAGAUACCUGUGAAAUAGCCAUCUGCAGCCAGGGGUGUGGUAACGGUGGUUCGUGUGUUGGACCGAACACGUGUGACUGUACGGGGACCGGGUAUACAGGAGACACCUGCGAUACACCGGUGUGCAGUUCUGCCUGUCUGAAUGGUGGCACGUGUGAGAAGCCGAACGUGUGCACCUGUCCUGCAGGGUGGAGUGGCAAC